UACAGAGGGUGCAAGCGUUGUUCGGAAUCAUUGGGCGUAAAGGGCGUGUAGGCGGUCUGCUAAGUCAUGUGUGAAAUCCCUCGGCUUAACCGAGGAACGACGCAUGAAACUGGCAAGCUAGAGUACCAAAGAGGGGGGUGGAAUUCCCGGUGUAGCGGUGAAAUGCGUAGAGAUCGGGAGGAACACCUGUGGCGAAGGCGGCCCCCUGGGCCGGCCCUGACACUGAGACGCGAAGGCGUGGGGAGCGAACGGG
rnacentral:rRNA from 1 species